GGUUGUGUAGUGUAAUGGUUAGCACUCGAGAUUCUGAUUCUCGCAAUCCCGGUUCGAUCCCGGGCACGACCU